rnacentral:rRNA from 1 species
UACAGAGGGGGCAAGCGUUGUUCGGAAUUACUGGGCGUAAAGGGCGCGUAGGCGGCCUUCUAAGUCAGACGUGAAAUCCCCCGGCUUAACCGGGGAACUGCGUCUGAUACUGGAUGGCUGGAGUUUGGGAGAGGGAUGCGGAAUUCCAGGUGUAGCGGUGAAAUGCGUAGAUAUCUGGAGGAACACCGGUGGCGAAGGCGGCAUCCUGGACCAAUACUGACGCUGAGGCGCGAAAGCCUGGGGAGCAAACGGG